rnacentral:sRNA from 1 species
GCUGGGUGCGGUGGUGCACGCCUGCAAUCCCAGCGGCUUGGGAGGCUGAGACAGGAGGAUUGGGAAUUCAAAGCCAGCCUCAGCCAAAGUGAGGCAGUAAGCAACUCAGUGAGACCCUGUCUCUA